rnacentral:misc_RNA from 1 species
UCCGGUUUAACACCGGCAGUCUCCUUGGAGUGCCCAACUGAAUGGUGGCAACUAAGGAUAAGGGUUGCGCUCGUUAAGGGACUUAACCCGACAUCUCACGAUACGAGCUGACGACAGCCAUGCAGCACCUGUCUCCCGGUCUCCGAAGAGAAAGCCCUACUUCUAGGGCGGUCCGGGGAUGUCAAACCCAGGUAAGGUUCUUCGCGUUGCAUCGAAUUAAACCACAUGCCCCACCGCUUGUGCGGGCCCCCGUCAAUUCCUUUGAGUUUUAACCUUGCGGCCGUACUUCCCAGGCGGGGUACUUAAUGCGUUAGCUUCGGCACUGUAGGGGUCAAUUCCCACAACACCUAGUACCCAUCGUUUACAGCGUGGACUAC